rnacentral:tRNA from 1 species
GUCACAGACUCAGUGGUUAGAGCUUAGGUCUCGUAACCGGAAGGUCCCGAGAUCGAAUCCCGCCAGAGGCA